GAACGCUGGCGGAAUGCUUUACACAUGCAAGUCGAACGGCAGCACGGACUUCGGUCUGGUGGCGAGUGGCGAACGGGUGAGUAAUAUAUCGGAACGUGCCCAGUCGUGGGGGAUAACGUAGUGAAAAUUACGCUAAUACCGCAUACGAUCUAUGGAUGAAAGCGGGGGAUCGCAAGACCUCGCGCGAUUGGAGCGGCCGAUAUCAGAUUAGGUAGUUGGUGGGGUAAAGGCUCACCAAGCCAACGAUCUGUAGCUGGUCUGAGAGGACGACCAGCCACACUGGAACUGAGACACGGUCCAGACUCCUACGGGAGGCAGCAGUGGGGAAUUUUGGACAAUGGACGCAAGUCUGAUCCAGCCAUUCCGCGUGCAGGAUGAAGGCCCUCGGGUUGUAAACUGCUUUUGUACGGAACGAAAAGGUUUGUCUUAAUACGAUGAGCUCAUGACGGUACCGUAAGAAUAAGCACCGGCUAACUACGUG
rnacentral:rRNA from 1 species